GAAGGUUCCGAUAACUGGCGGAUAUGUGGGGUACCACAGGGAAAUCGGAAUCCAUAAGGAGUCGACCGUCUGGGCAGCAAUG
rnacentral:ncRNA from 2 species